rnacentral:rRNA from 1 species
UACGUAGGGGGCAAGCGUUGUCCGGAAUCAUUGGGCGUAAAGCGCGUGUAGGCGGUUCGAUAAGUCUGCUGUGAAAGUCCAGGGCUCAACCCUGGGAUGCCGGUGGAUACUGUCGGACUAGAGUACGGAAGAGGCGAGUGGAAUUCCCGGUGUAGCGGUGAAAUGCGCAGAUAUCGGGAGGAACACCAAUUGCGAAGGCAGCUCGCUGGGACGUCACUGACGCUGAGGCGCGAAAGCGUGGGGAGCAAACGGG